rnacentral:rRNA from 1 species
UACGUAGGGUCCGAGCGUUGUCCGGAAUUACUGGGCGUAAAGAGCUCGUAGGUGGUUUGUCGCGUUGUUCGUGAAAACUCACAGCUCAACUGUGGGCGUGCGGGCGAUACGGGGCAGACUUGAGUACUGCAGGGGAGACUGGAAUUCCUGGUGUAGCGGUGGAAUGCGCAGAGUAUCAGGAGGAACACCGGUGGCGAAGGCGGGUCUCUGGGCAGUAACUGACGCUGAGGAGCGAAAGCGUGGGGAGCGAACAGG